CCCUUAGAUGUUCUGGGCGGCCCGCGCACUACAAUGGCGUGUGCAGCGAGUGCCGAAGUAGAGUUUUCCGAGGUAUUCUUGCAAUGCUCGUUUUGAUGGGGAUAGACCCUUGCAACUGUUGGUUUUGAACGAGGAAUUCCUUGUAAGCAUGGUUUAUCAUCCGACGCUGAAUGCGUCCCUGCCCUUUGUACACGCCGCCCGUCGCUCCUACCGAUGAGUCGUCCGGUGAAGUUCGUAGACCUCGUGAUCGCGGACCACUGGGGGAAGCAAAAUGAACCUCGCGGUUUAGAGGAAGGAGAAGUCGUAACA
rnacentral:rRNA from 1 species